UUGCACAUAAUUUUACAAGGAAAAUAAGAGCAAUUCUAUAUUAUCAGGAAAUGGAUUGAAUACCAAUGGCAUUAAUAUGACACAUAAACUGUUGCAAGCUUCAGUUAUGAUGUCAGUAAUAGAAGGGAAUGAACCUUCAGGAUCAGGGCUCUCAGGAUGAGCAAGGAAAAACACCGUCUAGGCAAGCUUGUUCAAGCACUCCUUAAUCAGCACGAUCAACAAGUUGCAUUUUUUUCUAAGACUUUAGUCCAAUUGAGGAUAGAUCAAGAAGAGGAAGGAGCUCGCAUUGUACCAGGGCAGAGAGGACUGCCGACGCUGAUAUUGUAGGACUGACUGUGGCGCUCGGAAUCAUUUGUAAUCAUAAGCAAAUUAAUAAGCUACGUGGAUGUGGUUGUUGUAAUUUAUUUGGAGUAAUCAGUUUAAUUUAAUCACAGACACAUUGUGAAAUUACACGUUUUUUGGAUGCCCUAUAGCAAAUUUUGCUAUCUAGAAUAGAAACUGAAUGACUGAGACGUGAAUCCUAACAGCCCACACAACUCCCUUGUUACGAAGUAUUCGGCACAUGACAUCAGCACAAAGAGAAAUCUGCUUGUAUGUCCAAGGUACUGUAGGUUCAAAGAAAGAAAUUCUUGACUGGAUGUCUACAAUUUAACCCUUUGCAUGGUGCAGUAGAAAUGUUUAUAGACCAUUUAGCGAAGAUUGAUCCAUGCAGGAGACAUUUGCACUAUUUGUAAGGGGUAAUCAUGAUGGAAGGAAAUUACCUUUACCAAACAGAAAUUUAGUAGAAUCAGCCAAAAAUCUCCUUGAUUGUGCAGUAAACAAUAGCAAUUGGCAUGGUGUCCAGUCAGCUUUGCUUCGACAAUCUGAACUUUUUUUCCCUACAUAUUAAAUAAUUUGAUAUCAAAGGUUAAGUCAGUUUGCGAGAUAUAAGUUUUUUUUUUUUUUAAAAAAAGAAGUGUACCAUCACUUCAGAGACAACUGUGAUAGUUAAUCUACAUACAAAAUUAAGUUUGAGGGACACAGAACUGAGUAUGAAUGCUUAGCACUUCGAUCAGACUCCACAACACACUAUACACACUUAAGUUGACAGAAUUGCAUCUCCUAUAGGAUUUGCAGAAAAAACAGAGGAAUGAAUGUAUAGCACCUGCAGAUUGGUGUAUUCUCAAAUGAUCCUACAGGUAAAUCACAGGAGGCCUCUCAUCUGCAUGACAGAAGAGAUAGAUUGCUUUUAGUAAGUAAACUGAAUAAUAAUUUUUUAACACCACAAAUUGCAAAAUACAGGAUUGGUCCAAUCACUUGGAUGGUCAACAAAUGAGAAAACUGCAUGCCAGAUGGAUACCUUGUUGAUCUAACCACAAUAUAGAGCACUCAAGAAAUCUAGAACGCUGCUCGAUGAAAUGUGUAUGUGCUGCCAACCAGACCUAGCAACUCCUACUUACUUCUAGGUCGUCGGCGACGCGGGCGCGGGUGUUCCAGAGGUGGCACGGAGGAGAUUGGUGGGGUGGCCCUCGCUGGCGACGCGGAUGGGAGAGAUCGGCGUGGGCGGAGCAGAUUGGUGAGGGAGUACCGACGGUGGCACGGAGGAGAUCGGCACGGUCGGAGCAAAUCGGUGGAGAGAUCGGCUCGGGCGAAGGAGAUCGGAGGACGACGACCCUGGCAACUCCUGUUCAGCCGUGGUGGAAGACGGCGAUGGCGGCGACGAGGACGGCGGGGGCGAUCGAUGGCGGCGGCAGUGGGGGAGCGAUCUGGUGGAGGACGGCGUGGGCGGCGGGGAGGAUCGAUGGCGGCGGCAGCGCGGGACGGUGGGGGAGGACGGUGGGACGGCGGGGAGGAACAGCUAGUCGAGGAGGACGGCGAGGGCGAGCGGGCGAGAGGAAGGACGGCGAAAAGCGAGCGGGCGCGCGGAAGCCGGAAAGCCAGGGCGGAGAGAAGCGGAUGCAGCGCGAUUGGAGCGCGAUGGUGUGGACGGAUAGGAGCGUUUGGAGCGUCGAUUUGGUGGGAGGAUCCUCCGAU
rnacentral:lncRNA from 1 species